rnacentral:rRNA from 1 species
GUAGUCCACGCCCUAAACUAUGUCAACUAGGUGUUGGAAGGGUUAAACCUUUUAGUGCCGUAGCUAACGCGUGAAGUUGACCGCCUGGGGAGUACGGCCGCAAGGCUAAAACUCAAAGGAAUUGACGGGGACCCGCACAAGCGGUGGAUGAUGUGGAUUAAUUCGAUGCAACGCGAAAAACCUUACCUACCCUUGACAUGUCAGGAAGAUCUCAGAGAUGGGAUUGUGCCCGAAAGGGAACCUGAACACAGGUGCUGCAUGGCUGUCGUCAGCUCGUGUCGUGAGAUGUUGGGUUAAGUCCCGCAACGAGCGCAACCCUUGUCAUUAAUUGCCAUCAUUUAGUUGGGCACUUUAAUGAGACUGCCGGUGACAAACCGGA